AGCGAACGCUGGCGGCAGGCCUAACACAUGCAAGUCGAGCGGGCAUCCUUGUGGUUUCAGCGGCUGACGGUUGAGUCACGCGUGUGAAUGUGCCGUUCGUUUCGUAAUUACUCAAGUAAACUUGCGCUAAUACCGGAUACGUGCGAGAGCAGAAUGUUUUAUCUGCCGAAGGAUCGGCGCGCGUCUGAUUUGUUCGUUGGUGUGGUUAUGGCUCAGCACGGCGACGGUUAGUAGCUGGUCUGAGAGAUUGAUCAGCCACACUGGCACUGAGACACGGCCCGGACUCCUACGCGAGGCAGCAGUGGGGAAUAGUGGACAAUGGCGGCAGCCCUGAUCCUGCCAUGACCGGUGAGUGAUGACAGCCUUAGGGUUGUAAAGCUCUUUUCUCCGGGACGAUAAUGACGGUACCGGAGGAAUAAGCCCCGGCUAACUUCGUG
rnacentral:rRNA from 1 species